rnacentral:rRNA from 1 species
AGAGUUUGAUCAUGGCUCAGGAUGAACGCUAGCUACAGGCUUAACACAUGCAAGUCGAGGGGAAACGACAUCGAAAGCUUGCUUUUGAUGGGCGUCGACCGGCGCACGGGUGAGUAACGCGUAUCCAACCUGCCCACCACUUGGGGAUAACCUUGCGAAAGUAAGACUAAUACCCAAUGACGUCUCUAGAAGACAUCUGAAGGAGAUUAAAGAUUUAUCGGUGAUGGAUGGGGAUGCGUCUGAUUAGCUUGUUGGCGGGGUAACGGCCACCAAGGCGACGAUCGAGUAGGGGUUCUGAGACGGAAGGUCCCCCANAUUGGAACUGAGACACGGUCCAAACUCCGUACGGGAGGCAA